AUUGAACGCUGGCGGCAUGCCUUACACAUGCAAGUCGAACGGUAACAGGUCUUCGGAUGCUGACGAGUGGCGAACGGGUGAGCAAUACAUCGGAACGUGCCUAGUAGUGGGGGAUAACUACUCGAAAGAGUGGCUAAUACCGCAUGAGAUCUACGGAUGAAAGCAGGGGAUCGCAAGACCUUGUGCUACUAGAGCGGCCGAUGGCAGAUUCGGUAGUUGGUGGGAUAAAAGCUUACCAAGCCGACGAUCUGUAGCUGGUAUGAGAGGACGAUCAGCCACACUGGGACUGGAACACGGCCCAGACUCCUACGGGAGGCAGCAGUGGGGAAUUUUGGACAAUGGGCGCAAGCCUGAUCCAGCAAUGCCGCGUGCAGGAUGAAGGCCUUCGGGUUGUAAACUGCUUUUGUACGGAACGAAAAGCCCUGGGUUAAUACCCUGGGGUCAUGACGGUACCGUAAGAAUAAGCACCGGCUAACUACGUGCCAGCCGCCGCAGUAAUAC
rnacentral:rRNA from 1 species